rnacentral:rRNA from 1 species
AGGCCAGACUCCUACGGGAGGCAGCAGUGAGGAAUAUUGGUCAAUGGGCUUACGCCUGAACCAGCCAAGUCGCGUGAGGGAAGACUGCCCUAUGGGUUGUAAACCUCUUUUGUCAGGGAGCAACGCCGGCUACGUGUAGCCGGACUGAGAGUACCUGAAGAAAAAGCAUCGGCUAACUCCGUGCCAGCAGCCGCGGUAAUACGGAGGAUGCGAGCGUUAUCCGGAUUUAUUGGGUUUAAAGGGUGCGUAGGCGGAAUGCCAAGUCAGCGGUAAAAUUUCGGGGCUCAACCCCGUCGUGCCGUUGAAACUGGCGUUCUUGAGUGAGCGAGAAGUAUGCGGAAUGCGUGGUGUAGCGGUGAAAUGCAUAGAUAUCACGCAGAACUCCGAUUGCGAAGGCAGCGCACCGGCGCCCUACUGACGCUCAGGCACGAAAGCGUGGGUAUCGAACAGGAUUAGAUACCCCUGUA